UUUAAGAAGCCACGAUCGCAGUUUUAGAUCACCCCUGAUGAAGACACUAGACUGGAGUGUAGAAACGUUGGGUCUUGAUUACAAUUCGACUGGGCUUUGUAAUCAUUUAUUUAAACCAGAGUAGCGAGCGAAACAUGAAAGUUUGGUUAUGUUAUAAAGUCCUACUAAACGCCGUGUUGUAGGCAACUUGAUUAGCUGUUCUUAAUGCUUUCCCAACACUAUCAUGUAAUCUAUUUAAGUUCAAACAUAGCUGGAACACUCAUUAAACCUUUAUUUUGUUCAUCUAGAGCUUGAAAUGUCCCCAGUAUAACAAUGUGUGACUGCCAACUCUCA